AGCAUCGCUUGGCAAGAUGAUGCAGGAUACUCCCUCAAGAAAACUUUGAAAGAACAGUGCUGCACGGCUGGACUAGGACAUUACUGCUGCUGAUUAGGAAACACACUGCACCCAGAAAAUGGAUGAAUUUCAUUCCUAAGGGUGUGGCCAUGCUUCAAAACAACACACUUGGAGCUCAGUGUACAAGCACCGCCUCAAGAAUCCAGGAAAAUUAACCCAUGUGGAGCUUCAUGAUUUUUGAAAGGUUUCCAAGAAUACCAGGCAAGGAAAUGAAAUCUUCAUCCCAAGGAAAAGAUCCCUUUCCAAAACUGUUAAUCUUUCCUUAUGACAUGUUUUGGAAUACAAACGUAUCCAGAGGGGGUUUAUUCAGCAAUAUGCUGUGUUCAUGUAAGUAAUCAAAAUCGGGGUUUAUUACAGUGGUACAUAUGUUAACAAUAAUUCAAACUUUUAUUCACCCUGUUUCACCACCACAGCUGCUCGUGGUUUUCCUUAAGGCCCCACCCAGUGACACUUGGAACACAAGCAGAUACACGUAUGUAUUACAGGGAGCGAUGCUUUGCAUUGUUAUUAGAGAACUAGGCUUCCUUCAGCAUGCAAUAUUAUCAUAACAAACUCAGGACUACCCGCUUUCUGUCACUAUAUGACAUUCCAUAUAUGCUGGAAUCGGCAGAAUUAGAACACAGAUCUGGUUUCUACAUAUCACUUCUGAUUAAUUUUUGCAUUACAGAGACUGAAGACAAUUAUAGAGCCUCUGGAUGAUCCAGAUUCCAGCCAUUUGUAGGUCUGUCCCACUAGUAUGUCCAGUGAAGCCAUUUAUGGGUUCUAUAUAAUUGAAUGCAUAGAUAAGUGAAGAACAGGGACGUAG